ensembl:lncRNA
CAUUUCCUGCUGUUGGGAUAAGGUAUCCUGACAGCAGCAACUCAGGGGAGAGAAGGCUGGUUUGAGCUCACAGUUCCCAGUUACGGUUCUUCAUUAUGGAGAAGUCACAGCAGCAAGACUCAGAGAGAACUGAUCACACCACGUUACAGUCGCGAGCGGAGAGUUGUGAGUUAAUGCACGCAGGCUAGUGUUGGGCUUGCUCUCCCUUUCAUCCAGUUCAGGGCCCAAUUUAUGAAACAGCGCUGGCCACAUUCAAGGUGGGUCUUCCCUCCUCAACUGACCCAACUAAGGAAAUCCCCCAGGCCAGCAUAAUCCAGACAAUUCCCCGCCGACACUCCCACCACAGUGAAAAAAAAAAAAACAAGGAUAAAUGUUCCCGUGGCCCCAGAGAGCUGAGCAUAUCUGGAAUGCGAUCUAAUGAAUUUUUGACGAAAGGAGGGAAGGAGCCAGAAUUGUGAAGACCGUCUCGAAAGGCUUCUGGCGCUCAGCCUUGGUUUGGAACUCUCCUCCAAACGGUAUUAUUUAUCCAAAUGACUUGCUAAGCUCUUACCCAGAUGGUCACAUCUCGCAAGGUCUCCAGCCGAAGACGUGGCCCAGAUCAAAGCUGUAUACCGCCACGCCUGGAUCCGGGACGUGCUUUGUCCCAGGCUGACUUUGAACUCAGAGAUUUCCGUGCCUUCCUCUCCUGGGAUUCAUAGCUGCUAUGCCUCAAGAUCUCCACGCCAAGAUCCAGGUCGGUAACUUGGGUCUCCAGGCCUCAAGAUCAGGAUCUCAGGUGAGCCUCCCAAUUCUGGAUUGUAGUUCAUUCCAGAUACAGUCAAGCUGACCACCAGGAACAGCCAUUGCACCAGGCAAACUAACGACAAUGGCUGUGUGAGCUGCAGAUUGAGAUCUGUGUCUGCCCACAGCAGGGGUGACUGAUUCUCUCAUGAGCACGGAGGCUGGCCUGUAGGCGACAUCUUUGCUGUUGCACAAACCUGCAGGAGACAAUGGCCCCAGCAACAGGGUGUGCAGUGCAGGCAGAGGGACCUUGCUCUUGAUCACAGGCAGCUAUGGACCAACACAAAGGAGCAGAAUGGGAAAUUACCAUGAGGAAAGACCGGGGCAGAGGCACCUAACAGGAAGCUGACAGAGCAGUAUGAUCGGCAGCCAGUGAGGUGCAUCGCUGACUGUUGCUAUGACAAAAUGCCUCACACGAAAGCACCUUGAGGAAUGAAAGGUCAUUUGGCUGACGGCUUGAGAGGAUACAGUCCCUUGUGGUGGAGGCUUGCUAACAGCACCUGCAGUCAGGAAGCAGAGGGAGCUGCCUUGGGGACUUGCUCCCUCCCCUUUUCCCUGUUUUGCAGGAUGGUGACGCCCACAUCCAGGAUCGCCCUUCUUCCACCUCGAUGGGAGCAUCCUCACACACACUCUCAGAGUCGUGUCUCCAUGGCGAUUCUAGACCUAGUCAAGUUCACAAUGAAAUGAACCAUCAAACAGGAGGGCGGGAAGACUACCAUCUUAUUAUUAGAUAUUGAGUGUCGGAGGCUCUUGUUAAACCCAGAGUUUUAUAGCAUGUACGGAUGAGUCUAUAAGAAAAUCCAGGUGUCUGAUUAAAGUUUAGUCAAGCAAAGA